UGGUGGGGUAAUGGCUCACCAAGGCGACGAUCCGUAACUGGUCUGAGAGGAUGAUCAGUCACACUGGAACUGAGACACGGUCCAGACUCCUACGGGAGGCAGCAGUGGGGAAUAUUGGACAAUGGGCGAAAGCCUGAUCCAGCCAUGCCGCGUGUGUGAAGAAGGUCUUCGGAUUGUAAAGCACUUUAAGUUGGGAGGAAGGGUUGUAGAUUAAUACUCUGCAAUUUUGACGUUACCGACAGAAUAAGCACCGGCUAACUCUGUGCCAGCAGCCGCGGUAAUACAGAGGGUGCAAGCGUUAAUCGGAAUUACUGGGCGUAAAGCGCGCGUAGGUGGUUUGUUAAGUUGGAUGUGAAAUCCCCGGGCUCAACCUGGGAACUGCAUUCAAAACUGACUGACUAGAGUAUGGUAGAGGGUGGUGGAAUUUCCUGUGUAGCGGUGAAAUGCGUAGAUAUAGGAAGGAACACCAGUGGCGAAGGCGACCACCUGGACUAAUACUGACACUGAG
rnacentral:rRNA from 1 species